UACGGGGGGGAGCAAGCGUUGUUCGGAUUUACUGGGCGUAAAGGGCGCGUAGGCGGUCGUGACAAGUCACUUGUGAAAUCUCCGGGCUUAACUCGGAACGGGUCAAGUGAUACUGUCGGACUAGAGUACAGAAGGGGCAACUGGAAUUCUCGGUGUAGCGGUGAAAUGCGUAGAUAUCGAGAGGAACACCUGCGGCGAAGGCGGGUUGCU
rnacentral:rRNA from 1 species